UACGGGGGGAGCAAGCGUUGUUCGGAUUUACUGGGCGUAAAGGGCGCGUAGGCGGCCACCGCAAGUCAGUUGUGAAAUCUCUGGGCUUAACCCAGAAAGGUCAACUGAUACUGCGGGGCUAGAGUGCAGAAGGGGCAACUGGAAUUCUCGGUGUAGCGGUGAAAUGCGUAGAUAUCGAGAGGAACACCUGCGGCGAAGGCGGGUUGCUGGGCUGACACUGACGCUGAGGCGCGAAAGCUAGGGGAGCGAACGGGAUUAGAAACCCCCGUAGUCC
rnacentral:rRNA from 1 species